rnacentral:rRNA from 1 species
UACGUAGGUGGCAAGCGUUGUUCGGAAUGACUGGGCGUAAAGGGCGCGUAGGCGGCUCGUGAAGUCGGGUGUGAAAGCCCGGGGCUCAACCCCGGAACGGCAUCCGAUACUGGCGGGCUUGAGACCAGGAGAGGAGGGUGGAAUACCCAGUGUAGAGGUGAAAUGCGUAGAUAUCUGGAGGAAUACCGGUGGCGAAGGCGGCAUCCUGGACCGGCAUUGACGCUGAGGAGCGAAAGCCAGGGGAGCAAACGGG